ACGGGAGGCAGCAGUGGGGGAUAUUGCGCAAUGGGGGAAACCCUGAUGCAGCGACGCCGCGUGAGUGAAAAAGUAUUUCGGUAUGUAAAGCUCUAUCAGCAGGAAAGAUAAUGACGGUACCUGACUAAGAAGCACCGGCUAAAUACGUGCCAGCAGCCGCGGUAAUACGUAUGGUGCAAGCGUUAUCCGGAUUUACUGGGUGUAAAGGGAGCGCAGACGGCAUGGCAAGCCAGAUGUGAAAUGUGGGGGCUCAACUCCUGAACUGCAUUUGGAACUGUCAAGCUAGAGUAUCGGAGAGGUAAGUGGAAUUCCUAGUGUAGCGGUGAAAUGCGUAGAUAUUAGGAGGAACACCAGUGGCGAAGGCGGCUUACUGGACGAUAACUGACGUUGAGGCUCGAAAGCGUGGGGAGCAGACAGGAUUAGAUACCCUGGUA
rnacentral:rRNA from 1 species